rnacentral:misc_RNA from 1 species
AUGCGAUAAGUAAUGUGAAUUGCAGAAUUCAGUGAAUCAUCGAAUCUUUGAACGCACAUUGCGCCCGCCAGUAUUCUGGCGGGCAUGCCUGUCUGAGCGUCAUUUCAACCCUCAUGCCCCUAGGGCGUGGUGUUGGGGAUCGGCCAAAGCCCGCGAGGGACGGCCGGCCCCUAAAUCUAGUGGCGGACCCGUCGUGGCCUCCUCUGCGAAGUAGUGAUAUUCCGCAUCGGAGAGCGACGAGCCCCUGCCGUUAAACCCCCAACUUUCCAAGGUUGACCUCAGAUCAGGUAGGAAUACCCGCUGAACUUAA